CCUUUUAUCGGCCCUUAUUCUUAGCCCCUCAUAUCCGCCUGCAAUCCUUCUCUCUCUCAAAAACCCCUCCCUAAACCCUUCUCUUCUUCUUGUCCUUCUCCGUGGAAUCAUCCAUGGCAAAGGUCUCGCCUUUCUCUAUCCUUCUGACCUUUCUAGCCUUGAUAGGUCUUAUGGGCUUUGUUUCACCGCUCGCGGCGGCCGGCGGCGGAUCGAUCCACGAGCUCCUCCGGGAGCACGGCCUCCCGGCCGGCCUCCUUCCCAAGGCGGUCGAGUCGUUCGACCUGGACCGGGACUCCGGUCUCCUUGAGGUCCGGCUCGAGCGGCCCUGCUAUGCGGUGUACGACGGGCUGGCCUACUUCGAGCGGGUGGUCCGGGGGAACCUCAGCUACGGCGCGCUCCGGGCAGUGGAGGGCUUCUCCCAGGAAGAGCUCUUCCUCUGGCUCCCCGUGAAGGGGAUUCUCGUCUCCGAUCCGUCUUCCGGCAUCAUCCUCAUCGACAUCGUCCUUGCCCACAAGCAGUUGUCGCUCUCGCUCUUCGAGGAGCCGCCGGACUGCCAGCCGGCGGUGCGGCAGGUCGUCGGGGAAGGUGAGGGGCCAGACAAGAUGCGAUUUUGACGGGGUUUUCCGUUUCAAAUCUGGCCCAAUUGCGUGUCGAGUAUAUUUAUUGCUUUGUCUUUCUGACUCCCCAGGGCUUUUUGGCAGGAAGGGUGGAUUUCAAACUCGGAGAGAAAUAUAGAAGAGAAGAGCCGGAGUUUUCUUUCUUGCCUCUACCCUUCUUUCUCUCUAUAAACUAAAGUUAAUGGAGUGAUGUAAAAAUGGAAAUGGUGGAAUUGAAUGUCUGAUAGACUGCGUCUCCCCUUCACCUUUCCAUGGUCCAUGGUCAUGUGUGGCAUGCGAUAUGUGUGUCUUGGUGUUUCAUACGCUCUGGGAGUAUAUUAGACCAAUGAAGUUUUGAGAUGAAUGGUGUGGUGUGUUAGCUUAGUUCCUUGUAUAUAUAUACACCUCUACGUUUAUAUUUGUGAGGGUGUUGUGAUGGUUGGUGAUGAGAUAAUUUGAGUCGGUUUUGGAUGAUCUCUUGGUGCGCUGUCA